GAUGAAGAACGUAGUGAAAUGCGAUAAGUAAUGUGAAUUGCAGAAUUCAGUGAAUCAUCGAACCUUUGAACGCACAUUGCGCCCGCCAGUAUUCUGGCGGGCAUGCCUGUUCGAGCGUCAUUUCAACCCUCAAGCCCAGCUUGGUGUUGGGGAUCGGCACAGGCGCCCUCGGGCGCCAGCCGUCCCCUAAAUCUAGUGGCGGUCCCGCUGCAGCCUCCUCUGCGUAGUAGUUUUCUCCUCGCAAGGGCAGCUCGGUGGCGACCUCGCCGUAAAACCCCCAACUUCUGAAAGGUUGACCUCGAAUCAGGUAGGAAUACCCGCUGAACUUAAGCAUAUCAAUAAGCGGAGGA
rnacentral:misc_RNA from 1 species